UGCCCCCCGCAGCCCCGGCCGGGCCGCAGGAGGAAGAGGAGCUGCGGGAGCAGCGCGUCAAGUGCCUCAACAACUGCGCGGCGGCGGCGCGGCGACUGCAGCGCGGCGGGGAGGCGCUGGCGGCCUGCGAGGCGGCGCUGCGCAUCAGCCCGGACAACGGCAAGGCGCUGCUCCGGCGGGGCCAGCUGCUGGCGGAGCAGGGCCGCGACGAGGAGGCCGCGCUCGUCCUGCGCAGAGCGCUGGAGCUGGACCCGGCCAGCAAGGCCGUCCACGCCGAGCUCGCCCGCCUGGUGAAGCGCCGCGCCCGGCCCGCG